AUGCCUGGAAAAUGUAAAUUCCAGGUUGCGUGGCUUUCCAAGGAUAUAUACAAAGACUGGCUCGUCAAAGACCCACAAGACAUUCAGUUGGCCAGAUGCAAAGCUUGUUGCAAAGCAAUUAAACUGCAGACGAUGGGAGAGGCAGCCCUCACAAGCCACGCCGCGGGCUGUGGCCAUAAAGCAGCCGUCCGCAAGCUCGUAGAAGCAACAAACGCAAACGAGGAUGCCCAUGCAAGCGUGUGUGUGUUGAUAUUAGGUGGUCGGAUCAGCAACCACACAGACCCACCGAAACAUAUUAAAACCCCUAGCAGAUGUCACUAUUCCAUUCAGACCGCCAUUUUGGGUGUCAGGCGCGGACCAAGCCUAGGGCCGAGGCUUGCCAGCCUGAGAGAACCAGUGUGCAGUUUUCCAGGUUAUAUAGUCCCGCUCUACUUUGGCCAUAAUGGUGCACGCUUGUGUUGCUGUUGGGUGUCACAAAUGGAAGACUCCUGGCUCGCUUGUGUCAUUUGACCGAUAUCCCCAUGAUUUGGAGAGAACGCAGCACUGGGUGACAGCUGUGAAACGCAACGUGCCUGCAUUGGAGCCCAGUCGACUCAGUCUGCACAGUGCACUUUGCAUCUCGGGUAAGUUUUAAAAAAACUCUCAAACAUGUAUGAAUUAGUAAAUAGACGUUAAAAAGUGGCUGCAAGCAAUCUUACAA
rnacentral:lncRNA from 1 species